CAGCAGCCGCGGUAAUACGUAGGUGGCAAGCGUUGUCCGGAAUUAUUGGGCGUAAAGGGCUCGCAGGCGGUUUCUUAAGUCUGAUGUGAAAGCCCCCGGCUCAACCGGGGAGGGUCAUUGGAAACUGGGAAACUUGAGUGCAGAAGAGGAGAGUGGAAUUCCACGUGUAGCGGUGAAAUGCAUAGAGAUGUGGAGGAACACCAGUGGCGAAGGCGGCUCUCUGGUCUGUAACUGACGCUGAGGAGCGAAAGCGUGGGGAGCGAACAGGAUUAGAUACCCGCGUAGUCCCUGUCUCUUAUAU
rnacentral:rRNA from 1 species